rnacentral:rRNA from 1 species
GACGGAGGGCGCUAGCGUUUUUCGGAAUCACUGGGCGUAAAGGGCGCGUAGGCGGCCAUGUAAGUCGGGGGUGAAAGCCCGGGGCUCAACCCCGGAACGGCCUUCGAGACUGCGUGGCUGGAGACCGGAAGAGGAGGGUGGAAUACCCAGUGUAGAGGUGAAAUUCGUAGAUAUUGGGUGGAACACCAGUGGCGAAAGCGGCUCUCUGGUCCGGUUCUGACGCUGAGACGCGAAAGCGUGGGGAGCAAACAGG